UACGGAGGAUGCGAGCGUUAUCCGGAUUUAUUGGGUUUAAAGGGUGCGUAGGCGGCCAUUUAAGUCAGCGGUGAAAUUUUGCAGCUUAACUGUAACAGUGCCGUUGAUACUGUUUGGCUAGGAUUUGGUUGUAGUGUGCGGAAUGUGUGGUGUAGCGGUGAAAUGCUUAGAUAUCACACAGAACACCGAUUGCGAAGGCAGCUCACAAAGCCAUAUCUGACGUUGAGGCACGAAAGCGUGGGGAGCAAACAGGAUUA
rnacentral:rRNA from 1 species